rnacentral:ncRNA from 1 species
UUUAUUUUUUAAAAAUUUGAAAAAAUUUUUUUUUUGGAUUAGGUUGGCGACAACGUAUUUUGUAUAUUAAUUUAUUUAUAAUAAGAAAUUUUAUGAUUAGAAAGUAGAUUUUUAUAGUGUGACUAAUAAUGAGAAUUAAUAAAAAUUUAUUGGCUAAAUCUGUGCCAGCAGCUGCGGUUAAACAGUUAAGAUAAAAAUAUUUGUCUAGAAAGAAAUUUAUAAUUUUUUUAAAAAAAAUAAUGUUUUAAAAAGAUGGUGAAAUAUUUUUAAAACGUAAAAAAAAAUUAAAAUUUUCUUAUAAAAUAAGGAUAAUAAACUAGGAUUAGAUACCCUAUUAUACUUAAACAAAGAUUAGGAGUAGAAUUUUUUGAAAUUAAAGUCAAAUGGCGGCAUUUUAUUCUUAUUAGAGGAAUUUGUAAAGUAAGGGAUAAAACGCCGAUAUCUUACUUAAAUUUGAAAGUCAAUUUAUAUAUCGUUAUUUAUAUUUUAUUUAGAUAUAAAAUAGAAAUUUUAAUUAAAAAAAAUAUUUUAAAUCAAGAUAUAGUUGAUAUUUAAGGUUAUUAUGAAUUAUAUUAAUUAAUUUUUAACAAUAUGAAUUUUUAAAUAAUUUUAUAAAGAAAGAUUUAAAAGUAAAAUAUUUAAAUUAUAAAUAUUUGAAAUAAGCUCUAAAAUGUGUACAUAUCGCCCGUCACUUUCAGUAAAAUGAAAAAAGUCGUAACAAAGUAAAAAUACUGGAAAGUGUUUUUA